rnacentral:rRNA from 1 species
UACGUAGGGGGCAAGCGUUGUCCGGAUUUACUGGGUGUAAAGGGCGCGUAGGCGGGAUAGCAAGUCAGUCGUGAAAUGCCGAGGCUUAACCUCGGAGCUGCGAUUGAAACUGUUAUUCUUGAGUAUCGGAGAGGAAAGCGGAAUUCCUAGUGUAGCGGUGAAAUGCGUAGAUAUUAGGAGGAACACCAGUGGCGAAGGCGGCUUACUGGACUGUAACUGACGUUGAGGCUCGAAAGCGUGGGGAGCAAACAGG